GACCUGCGGAAGGAUCAUUGAAUUAUUAAAACCACAAUGUGAACCUAUCUGUUCCGUGCCUUAGCUGCCAGCAGGGCAAUCGGGCUUUGUCCGAUUGUGCUUGCAAGCUGGUGCGAGUAUUAUUACUUGCAUCAGUGGCGCUUUGGCAUGCUUAUACACCAGUGCUACCACUGUCAAAACCAAACUCUGAAGCUUUGAUUGCUGUUAAUUGGCAAUCUUAACCAAAGACAACUCUCAACAACGGAUAUCUUGGCUCUCGCAACGAUGAAGAACGCAGCGAAAUGCGAUACGUAGUGUGAAUUGCAGAAUUCCGUGAACCAUCGAAUCUUUGAACGCAUAUUGCGCUCGAGCCCUCGGGCAAGAGCAUGUCUGCCUCAGCGUCGGUUUAUACCCUCACCCCUCUCUCCUUUUGGAGGGCUGGUCAGCUCUCAGUUGGCCUCAGGGGUGGAUCUGGCUUUCCCAAUUGGUUCACUCCGAUUGGGUUGGCUGAAGCUUAGAGGCUUAAGCAAGGACCCGAUAUGGGCUUCAACUGGAUAGGUAGCACCGGCUUCUGCCGACUACACGAAGUUGUGGCUUGUGGACUUUGCUAGAGGCCAAGCAGGAAACAUGC
rnacentral:rRNA from 1 species